rnacentral:lncRNA from 1 species
UAACUUUGAGGUUUUGACGCAGUAGGAGCUCACGUUAAGUCCAGCUUAUGCAGUGUUGAUAAAUUAAUAAUAUUUACAAAGCUGUAUCAAUCCAAGAUUAUUAUACAAGCUGAAAGAACAAAAGAUAUAGAUGUCAACAAUCAAUGUAAUAGUCGAUUCAAAUUACUAUGCAAAAUUAAUUUAUCAUUCCAAUUAAUAUACUGUAACUAAUAGCUGCCAGAAUUAAUAUAAUAAUCCAAAGUCAACAUUCUCAUAAUCCAAUACCUUAAAACCGAAUCGGAAUACUAACACGCACAUAAAUGAAAACAAUGCUGCAAGAUUAUAAUACCAACCUAAGAUUAAGUUCUGCAAAAUCGAAUUAGGCCCUUGUAUACAAACACUUUAAGUACACCAUUCUCUAGCAGACCAAGAGGGAAAUCCGACAAAAAAGACAGUAACUCUUCAUUGUGAAGUACCAAUAUCAGAACUAGAACUUUAAAUCCUUAAGUUUAUGAAGUAGCAAACAAAAUAGCAGCAGGAAAAUCCGGUACACUAGAAACAAAUGAACAAAUCUGUCAUCGUGCUAAAACAAUAAAAAACAGCAUAAGUCCAACCGCUCAUAAUAACGGGACCUGAUCGUACCGGACCUGCACACCAACAGCGGCAUCCGACUGUUUGCAACUCUAAGGUGACAUCAAUAUACACCGAUGAAACGUCCUUCACCCAGAUCCAAAACUCAAUUAAAUACAACAAUGAAAAAAUAUAUUCAAAGCAACCUCAAAGGAUGAAUAAAAAAAAAAAAAACCAGCUCUUUAUUUUAUAAUCCUAAAACAAACAAAACAUUAGUCAUCAAAGUGACCUCAUAAAGAAAUCAGAAAUCUGACCACAAGAUAGAAAUGUAAUGGAUUUUUUUAAAAAAAAGGUAUAAUGAAUCGCAUAGUGAGGAGGUAAUACUUAAAGUUGAUUUGAAAUUUUACCGGCAGAAACAUAACUUCGGUUACACACGCAUACGUAGGGAUUCCGUCAACUCUUCGGAUUUACUGGCUAAUUUCUUGGCGGAGAGAUCGCCGGAAAACGAACAGCGCGCAGCGGAGCAGGUUGGAGGGUCGUUGGCGGAGCUUUGUGGUUUGUGAUGAUGGAGGUGAGCGUUGGUUUGUAGAUCUAUGAGUUUUGUGGGUUUGUCCAGAAGGGUCCCUUGGAAUAUGAACGCAGAGCCUCUUUUAUUGAGAGAGAGGAAAGUGGAUUUCUCUUCUCUUCUUUUUCUUUUCCGUUGGUUAAUAGAGAGAGUGUAUUGUGAUGGUGAGGUAGAGUGGAUAGAGGAUACUCUAAGAGAGAGAUGGGUGGGUCUUUCGUGUGACCGUUGGGGAGUGUGGUGAGAGAAGAGGAAAUCCAGUGCAUAAGAGAAACAUGUGUGGAUUAUGAGUGGGACUUUCUUGGGAUAAGAUUGAUGAGCUGUCCAUAGAAUCCAAUGUAAAUUUUUUUUUGUUUGCAUACAAUUAAUAUUCAUUUAAGAAAGUAAACUCAUAAAUUUUUUAAUUAAUAUUUAAUUUAAAUAAAUUCUAAUUGUUUUAAUUAAAUAAUAAAAGAAAACAAAAUAGUGAUCGAUUAUAAAUAGAAACAGGAUAAAAAUUUGAUCAAAAAAAUAAAUAAAUCGGACACACUAAAAUGAUCAGCACAAAAUAUACUUAUUGAAAAAAACAACGUCUCUUUUAAUUUCGAAAUAAAUUUCACCGGUUAAAAGACUCAAACGGAUUAAAAUGCAGCUGAACAAGUUACCAAAAAAUAUUACGAGCACACCAGCCUAAACUACGUGAACCGUAGAUUAAUAAUACUGACGUCUGCAAAUUUAAUUUCAAAACUUUUUACCCGCUGAUUUUGCACGUACUUGAGAAAUGAUUUAACCAAAAACUACGUGAACCGUAGAUUAAUAAUACUGACGUCUGCAAAUUUAAUUUCAAAACUUUUUACCCGCUGAUUUUGCACGUACUUGAGAAAUGAUUUAACCAAUUUGUCUGUAUUUUCAAUAAAUUUAUUCUGAUUGAUAUUUUAGGUUUUAUUUAUGAUGAAAUGCAUUUUAUGUUGUACAACUGAUGCAAAUUGAAAUAAAAAUCGAAUUUAUGAAAAUUUAAAUAUGGCCGGACAAAAUUGGGGUGUGACAGCUGCCCCUAUUUAAUUAACUUGAACCAGAAGGUAAGAUUGACAACAGUCUUCAUACCUUCGUAGUGGAAGGUAAUUAAAUACGAAAAGACCCAAAUUUUGUCCUUUUAAAUGCAAGGAAGAAAUGCAGAAAGAAAUGCAGUGAGAAAUACAGUAAGACACAUUUUUAGAAGGUAAAAUGAAACAGUCAAGACUCUCUGGGAAUCGUCAAAACAGUAUCUUGGAUGUCAUAAUCGAGAUAUUCCAAUAAUGGAAUGAUACCUCAACUGUAUCAAAGACUUUCUGAUAAUUAGCAUAACAGUGUCUUGAUUUGAACGCACGAGAUUCUCUGGGGAUCAACGAAGCAGUAUCUUACAUGAUAUAAUCGAGAUAUUCCAUCAAGGGAAUGGUACCUUAAUCGUAUCUAAGAUUCUUCGAGGAUACUAGAGCAGUACCUCUAAAAAUGAAUGAGACUCUUCAUAUUAAUGAAGCAGCAUCUCAAACAGCAAAAUGAGACUCUCUGUAUCGAAUCGAAACAGCAUCUUAUAUGAUAGAAUUAAGAUAUUCCGAACAAGGGAAUGAUACCUUAAUUGAAUCUAAGACUCUUCAAGGAUACUAGAGCAGUAUCUCAAAAAAAAACUGGAAUGAGACUCUUCAUAUUGAUGAAGCAGUAUCUCAAACAGCAAAAGAUGAGAUUCUUUGUAUCGAGUCGAAGCAGCAUCUUAUAUGAUAAGAUUAAGAUAUUUCAGCAAGGGAAAAAUACCUUAAUUGAAUCUAAGACUCUCCGAGGAUAUUAGAGCAGUAUCUCUAAAAAGAUCUGAAAUGAGACUCUUCAUAUUGAUGAAGCAGUAUCUCAAACAGUAAAAAUGAGAUUCUCUGUAUCGAGUCGAAGCAGCAUCUUAUAUGAUAGAAUUAAGAUAUUUGGAACAAGGGGAAUGAUACCUUAAUUGAAUCUAAGACUCUCCGAGGAUACUUAGAGCAGUAUCUCUAAAAAUAAUCUGAAAUGAGACUCUUCAUAUUGAUGAAGCAGCAUCUCAAACAGUAAAAAUGAGAUUCUCUGUAUCGAGUCGAAACAACAUCUUAUAUGAUAGAAUUAAGAUAUUCCGAACAAGAGAAUGAUACCUUAAUUGAAUCUAAGACUCUCCGAGGAUAUUAGAGCAGUAUCUCUAAAAAAAUCUGAAAUGAGACUCUUCAUAUUGAUGAAGCAGUAUCUCAAACAGUAAAAAUGAGAUUCUCUGUAUCGGGUUGAAGCAGCAUCUUAUAUGAUAUAAUUAAGAUGUUCCAGCAAUGGAAAAAUACCUUAAUUGAAUCUAAGACUCUCCAAGGAUACUUAGAGCAGUAUCUCUAGAAAACAAAUGAGAUUCUUCAAAUUGAUGAAGCAGUAUCUCAAACAGAGAGAUGAGAUUCUUCAGAUAAAUGAAGCAGUAUCUCGAAUAUUCGUCUGUUGGGGGAAUUAGAGCAGUAUCUCUAGAAAACAAAUGAGAUUCUUCAAAUUGAUGAAGCAGUAUCUCAAACAGAGAGAUGAGAUUCUUCAGAUAAAUGAAGCAGUAUCUCGAAUAUUCGUCUGUUGGGGGAAUUUUUGAAAAGACUCCUUUUGAGGGAGAUUUACUAGAAAUGCUCUGCAGGGGAAAAAACUCAUAAGAUACUUUUUAGGGUAACCUCUGUUUGGGGAGCAAUGAUUGUAAAGAAAAAUGCUGGGAAUAUCAUUAUUAAUCAUAAAGUUUGAAAAAUGAUCUGUUGAGAAAUAAUCCCACGAGCAUAUGCAGGGUAAUAACUUCAUUUGGAAAUGAGGAAUGUCCAAGAUACACACAAAUAACCUUGGAUCCUGAUAUUUUACUUUUGAUUUUUGUAUGAUGUCCCACUUUAGGUGGGAAUACCAUACAUGCAAGUAUGCAAUUGCUGGGGAUAUUUGGUUGUGCAUGUAGGAAUGCGAAUGAUAUUUAUUUUGUAUAAGGUUAUGCAUAAGUAUGUUGAUGAUCGAUAUGACUGUGUUUUUUUUUUUUGAAUUUUCUGUUUGGUAGGAAAACCAUUUAUGAAUGAUUCAUAUGAUGCAUAUGGGAAUGCAAAUGGGUAAUUGGAUGUUUUUGUAGGGUUUAAUUCUUGAUUGCCAAUGAGGUUGGACUUUAAAUGGGAACUGCCGGAUGAGAAUUGGUGAAGGAGAUUGAACUGCCAAAUGAGGACAACACUUGAAGGAUAUGAUACCAGCUGCGAACUGGUGAAAAUAAUUGAAAUGUCAGACGAGACUGAAUUUGUUUUUGUUUGUCAGACAAGAACUGAUUUUUAAAGUAGGCUACCAGACGAGAACUGGUGAAAAUAAUUGACUACCAGACGAGAACUGUAUCAUAAUAGGUGACCUACCAGACGGAGACUGCGUAUUAAGAGAAAUUUAGCCAGACGAGAACUGGUAUUUGUGCAAAUGAUUUGUCGUACAAGAACUGAUUUUUGAUAUAGUUUCCAGACGGGAACUGGACUUUGAAUAAGUUGUCAGACGAGAACUGAACUUGAAAUAAGUUGCAGAGCGGAACUGGGCUUUGAAAUGAAUUUCCAGACGAGAACUGGUUUUAAGUAAGUUGCCAGACGGGAACUGGCUUUGGAAUAAGUUUCCAGACGGGAACUGACUUUGAAAUAAAUUGCCAGAUGAGAACUGGACUUUGAAAUGGCCAACGGUGUUGGCUUUGGUGUCAGAUUUAGGUUCAAGUUUUUUGAUGUCAGGUUCAUGUUAUGGGUUAUGUCUGAUAAAUGAUAUGAUAUGCAUGGCUUUAUGCUAGAGCAAAGCGACAUGACUAAUGCAUGAUGAUGAUUUAUGUAAUGAUUGGAAGGUUUCCAAAAUGCCCCUGCGCGGUUAUUGGAAGAGAAGGUUUUUUUUUUGCAGAAAGGCUUUUGUUUGUCAAAAGGUUAUUUUAUGGGGUGAUAGCGUGAUUCCCCGACACUCAUCUUGAACUCUGCAGUUGAUGACGUGUGAAAAAGCUUUUGCUUGAACUGCUUGAAAACAUGGAGAGGACUCGCUCCUGUAUGGCUCAUCUUGCCCCAAUCUGAUGGGUCUAUGCAAAAUGUUUGCCUCGAAAGGAUUUUGAAAGCAAUUGUAUCGUAAUUUGGAGAUGGAUUGCCCCAGAAUUUUGAUCCAUGAAAGGAUUUAUCCUUGGUUAACCGACUCUUGGAGUGGUUGACUUUUCUGUGCUCUUGAGGUAGUUUGCCCCGAUAUGAGCGUUGAAGCGACUUAACUCACCCUAACUGAACAUUGGAGGGGUCUUCUCCUGGCCAACAGAACCUCUAGGUGAUCUGCCCCUAGUUAAUAGAGUCCUGAGAUGAUUUGCUCUGGAUCAAACAAUUCUUGAAAUGACUUGCCCCUGAUUAACAGAUGUUUGGAGAUUGUUUUAAGACUGGCCAAUUCGUGGAGUAAUCUUCCCAUGAUCAACUGAUGUUUAAGUGGCAUGCCCCUGAUUCAUGGGUUAUGAGGUAGUCUUGAUUCGGGUUAGCACCAACGAAUGUCCAAGUUCCUCUAAUUGUUCCCUAUUGUUGGAAUUUCCCUGACGUCAAGUACUAACUUGCAGUUAAAAUUGUUUGUUCAGAAACGGUAAUUUUAAUGCGAUACUUAUGCAGGUUUUGAAAAGAAUUAUUAUUGAAAUGAUGUGAUAGUGUGUGACGAGUGGACCAUGAGUCCAGAUGUAAUGCUGAUUUAGCAAUUUAAAGUGUGAAAGACACAGCGAGAAUAAUGACAUCGAUGUUGAAUAUUAGCAAAUCUUUAGGAGUCAGUUUACGCAACUUUGCUGUAAUAUGCUUUCGGAAAUAACCCUACCUCAAUUAGGUCUUUUGAGGGUUGUAACGUGGCUUGGUUCAUGGUUAUUGAAAUCUUUAGGAGUCAGUUUACGCAACUUUGCUGUAAUAUGCUUUCGGAAAUAACCCUACCUCAAUUAGGUCUUUUGAGGGUUGUAACGUGGCUUGGUUCAUGGUUAUUGAAACAAAAGGAUAUAAGGCGCAAAGUUUAUUUUAACCCACCCAUUCUUCACAAUGAUCUAUAAUCCUAUGCUCAGUUAAUUCAACAUACACAUUCGUAUUUUUUGAAGGUGUAAGGAUAAAGAUGAUGAUUCAAGGUCUCUUGAAAUGGCAGUCACCUUAUUUCAUUUUCUGGAUGUCGGUGACCCUUUGAUUCUUGAUAUGGUGGUCACUAAGUCUUAUUCUGUUGAGGGUUUUCGUGACCUCUUUUGAUUUUUGUUUUGAUCCCUAACUUUUGCAUGGACCGCCUUUUGAAGCUUUAGUCCAUCGGGAUUGCCCCAGUUUUUGCCUAAGUCGCCUCUUGGGUAUCGACUUAGCGGGCUUUUUCAUUGAUUCUAUUUUUGAUAGGUUGUGACUGCCAAGUCAAUGGUCAUUGAAGGACAAACGCCAUAACUUUUUAAUUUUCCAAGGUUCCUUCGACACUUCAGGAUGUGUGCGAAGAAUGUCAUGUAGUUGAUCCACAGACAGGAUAUUUCAUCUUGUAAUUUGAAUGUGUAGUCAGAUUAGCUGAACACUACCCUGCCCCAAUUUCCAAGGUUCCUUCGACACUUCAGGAUGUGUGCGAAGAAUGUCAUGUAGUUGAUCCACAGACAGGAUAUUUCAUCUUGUAAUUUGAAUGUGUAGUCAGAUUAGCUGAACACUACCCUGCCCCAGGCUUAAUGUAAGGUUUUUUUUUAAUCCAAAAGAAACUCCUACUCCUAGGCUCAAAGUGGUUGACUAGGGAUUAACUCCUUAUCUCUUCAGUGUUUGGGAAUUUGAAACAAUGCCUGUACAUCAUCAGCAGGAUUUUAUCUGAAAGCAUAUAGUCAGCAAUUAUGGGUAUCUUGUUUUCGUCAUCCUCCCUCAAAUCUUUGCUAAAAAAAGUUAUGAUAAAGAAAAGUGAAUGGGAGAAAUAAUGAUGUAUUUUUUUGUUUUUGAUAUAAGUGAAAAAAAAUGAGCGAAUGCGAGAUAAUUAAUUCAAAACAUGCAUCAUUACUUCAUCAAUAUUACCAUUAAAAACAACAAUGUUUAAACACAAGCAGCUUUUAACAACAAAGAAACUACAAAUGCAAGACUUUUAAUAUCAUGAUAAAAAUUAAAAUAAUAACAUGGAAAAUUUAUUUAUUCAAUCUGACUAUUGACGAAAGAACAAAAUUAAAACGACUAAAAUGAAUAAAAGUCGGCAAAAUUUGCUCAAAAAAUUAAAUCGAUGCAUGAGAAUGACAGUCAAAUAACUUUGAAAAAUACAGCGUUUCUUCUUAAAUUCUAAAAGCUAAGCGGGUCAAAACGCAAUGAAACAACUGCUGAAAAAUACAACAAGCACACCAGGUUAAAUCAUGAACUGUAGAUUAAUAAUACUAGUGUCUAUAAUUUUAAUCUGAAACUUUUUACCCGCACUGUUUCAUGUCUUGAGAAAUGAUUAACCCAAUUCUGUAUUUUCAAUAAAUUUUUCUGAAUGAUAUUUUAGGUUAUUCAUGAGAAAUGCAGUCAUGUUGUGCGUAUGAUCAAAUUAAAAAUGAAUCAGAUUUCUAAAAUUAAAUAUGCCGGACAAAAUUGGCCGUAUGACAGCUGCACCUAUUUAAUUACAUUGAACCAGAAGUAAGAAUACAAAUCUUUUCAUACAUUUAGGGAAGGUAUUAAAUAGCGAAAGACCCAAAUUUUGUCCUUUGAAAGAAGGAAGAAAAUAUAGAAGAAAAUGCAGUGAGAAAUAGUGAGAGACGUUAUCCUAAAGUAAAAUGGAACAGCCAAGACUUUCGGGAGUCGUCGAACAAUAUCUUGGACGUCAUGUCGUAAUGUUAGUAAUAGACUACAUCCUAGCUAAAUCUCAAGACUUUUCCAGGAUGCUAGAGCAGUAUAAAGAAAAUCUGGCAUGAGACUCUUCAUAUUGAUGAAGCAAGCAUCCAACAGUAAAAGUGAGAUUCUGUAUCGAGUCGAAGCAGCAUCUAUAUGAUAGAAUUAAAAUAUUCCAGCAAGGGAAAAAAACUUUAAUUUAAUCUAAGACUCUCCGAGGAUAUUAGAGCAAUAUCUCAAAAAAAGAAUUCUGAAAUGAGACUCUUCAUAUUGAUGAAGCAGCGUCUCAAACAUAAAAUGAGAUUCUCUGUAUCGGAUCGAAACAACAUCUUAUAUAAAAAUAAGAUAUUCGAACAGGGAAUGAUACCUUAAUGAAUCUAAGACCUCUCGAGGAUAUUAAGAGAGUAUCUCUAAAAAAAUCUGAAAUGAGACUCUUUAUAUUGAUGAAGCAACAUCUCAAACAGUAAAAAGUGAGAUUCUCGUAUCGGUCGAAACAACAUCUUAUAUGAUAAAAUUAAAAUAUUCAGCAAGGGAAAAUACUUUAAUUGAAUCUAAGACUCUCCGAGGCUACUUAGCAGUACCUCUAAAAAAUCUGAAAUGAGACUCUUCAUAUUGAUAAGCAGUAUCUCAAACAGUAAAAAUCGAAUCUCUGUAUCGAGUCAACAGCAGCAUCUUACAUGAUAGAAUUAAGAUAUUCCAACAAGGGAAAGAUACCUUAAUUGAAUCUAAGCAUCUCCGAGGAUACUUAGAGCAGUAUCUCUAAAAAAAAUCUGAAAUGAGACUCUUCAUAUUGAUGAAGUAGUAUCUCAAACAGUAAAAAUGAGAUUCUCUGUAUCGAGUCGAAGCAUCAUCUUAUAUGAUAGAAUUAAGAUAUUCCAAACAAGGAAUGAUACCUUAAUUGAAUCUAAGACCUCUCGAGGAUAUUAGAGCAGUUACCCUAAAAAAGAAUCUGAAAUGAGACUCUUCAUAUUGAUGAAGCAGUAUCUCAAACAGUAAAAAUGAGAUUCUCGUAUCGGGUCGAAGCAGCAUCUUAUACGAUGAAUUAAGAUGUUCCAGCAGGAAGAAAAAAUACCUUAAUGAAUAUAAGACUCUCCGAGAUAUUAGAGCAGUAUCUCUAAAUAAUCUGAAAUGAACUCUUCAUAUUGAUGAAGCAGUAUCUCAGAUAGAAAAAUGAGAUUCUCUGCUAGCGAGUCGAAAACAGCAUCUAUAUGAUAGAAUUAAGAUAUCCAACAAGGGAAUGAACCUUAAUUGAACUAAGACUCUCCGAGGAUAUUAGAGCAGUAUCUCUAAAAUAAUCUGAAAUGAGACUCUUCAUAUUGAUGAAGCAGUAUCUCAAACAGUAAAAAAAUGAGAUUCUCUGUCGCAUCUCGAAAAUACGAUUCCUCGCGAUGGUCGCGGAAAAAUUAACAUUCAAACAAGGUCGCCACCGACUUAUAUUAUCCCAAUGAAGGGAUAGGAAAUAUCGAUAAACCUUAGGAAAUAGAAUAAUGGUCGUCGCAACCAUAUUCGGUUCGGAGUGGAUUAGCAAGGGGAAGGUAUGAGCACCCUUACGUCCGUUGUACUCAACGGGAACCUUUUAGUUCUAAUUUGUAUUCGUGUGUUAAUUUAUGUUUGUUUGAUAUAUCUUCCGGGUUAUAAAUAUAUUGAAAUAGAAAUGAGGAACCUCAGAAAGGAGAAAUGGGAGGUUUUUUAUUAGUGUGCUCCGAAAGAUACAGCAAUCUCCGCUACGUAUCCUUAUGGUGAUAAGGAAAUCAGAGCAUUCGUAGUUCGGAGACACGGUUUGUUGGUGUCUUUUAAUGAACGACUGUUUAGAUCGUGUUCUAAAGGCUAAACUGUUUGUCUACUCUCGGGGGAGGCUUAAGCACUAGUUUGUUGUGCGCAUUAGAAAAGAUUAAACAAGUUCUUUCUGAAAAAGUUUUGGUCACACGAGGUGGAUGGGUUGAUUAUGUUGGAUAUUUUGAUUGGUUUCGAUCGCACAGAGGGCAGAAAAGUAGAUUUGAUGUGUUAAGGUAUUUUGGUUGGAUGACGAUUACUCGGAUAGUCGAGUAAGAAAACUCGUAUCCUAAAUCGGAAAGGGAAUAGAAGACUCUAGACCACUUUCUGUUUUAUCUGAGUAAUUCUGAAAAGGAUUGGAUAUAAUUAAGGUGUUUUGAACGAUGACGAUUACUCGAUGGUCGAGUAAAACAACUCGUAUCCUAAUAAUCGAGAAGAGGAAUAGAAGACUCUAACACUCUCUGUUUCAUCUGAGUAUUUAUGAAAUAAGUGGUAUAUGGUUGACGUAUUUAGAAAGAACGACAAAUACUUGAAUGACUGAGUUAAACAACUCAUAUUCAAGCAUUGAGAAGAGGAAUUGAAAACUCAAGACCAUCUCCCUUUUCGUAUAGUUUUGAUUUUGAGAAUAAUUUGACUUAUGUAUAAGUUGAUGGAAAAUGAAAAUUGUUCAGUUGACGCCGAGUAAGAGACUCGUAUUCAAACAAUUGAGGAGAGAAGUUGAAAACUCAAAGUCAUCUCCCUUUUCAUUUAAAAUCUCAAUUUAACACAAUACAAUGGAAACAAAUUAUAUUUACAAAGUUCAUAAUAAGUUGGAAAAAACCAAUGAUGCAUUAUAUAAUCGGUCAAAAAUUUAUGUACACUAUAAUGUUUCAACAAACAACUAACAACAUAAUUACAUUUUUUUUAGCAAUCGUGUCAAUAUAAUUAAAAUAUUAUAAUUAAUUAACUCAGAAUUAUGACUACUACUAUUCAUGUGCUAUAUAUAACCAAAAUAUAAUUAAAAUCUAUGUACUACUACUCAGAAUUAUGAUUACUACUAUUCAGUGCCAUAACAUAACCAAAAUAUAAUUAAAAUCUAUGUACUACUACUCAGAAUUAUAUUACUAUUCAUAUGCUAUAAUUUACUCUUCAUUUAAAAUAUAAUCAAAAUUUAUGUACUAUAAUAUAACCAAAAUAUUAUAAUUACUACUAUCCACUGCUACUUACUUAGAACGUAAACCAAUUAACUCAGAAUUUUGAACAAAUACAAGAAAAUAGGCUUUAACUUUGAGUUUUGACAGUAGGAGCUCACGUUUAAGUCCAGCUUAUGCAGUGUGAUAAAUUAAUAAUAUUACAAAGCUGUAUCAAUCCAAGAUUAUUAUACAAGCUGAACAGAACAAUAUAUAUUAGUUCAAAAUUCAAUCAAUGUAAUAGUCCAAUUAAAAUUACUAUGCAAAAUUAAUUUAUCAUUCCAAUUAAUAUACUGUAACUAAUAGCUGCCAGAAUUAUAUAAUAAUCCAAAGUCAACAUUCUCAUAAUCCAAUACCUUAAAACCAAUCGAAUACUAACACGCACAUAAAUAAAACAAUGCUGCAAGAUUAUAAUACCAACCUAAGAUUAAGUUCUGCAAAAUCGAAUUAGGCCCUUGUAUACAAACACUUUAAGUACACCAUUCU